AUACGGAGGAUGCAAGCGUUAUCCGGAUUUAUUGGGUUUAAAGGGUGCGUAGGCGGAUGAUUAAGCGUGAGGUGAAAUGCCACUGCUCAACAGUGGAACUGCCUCGCGAACUGGUUGUCUUGAAUGCUCCUGCCGUGGGAGGAAUGUGUAGUGUAGCGGUGAAAUGCUUAGAGAUUACACAGAACACCGAUUGCGAAGGCAUCUCACGAAGGGUUGAUUGACGCUGAGGCACGAAAGCGUGGGGAUCAAACAGGAUUAGAUACCCUGGUAGUCCACGCAGUAAACGAUGAUGGCUAACCGCUGGUUUAUUCGGAUCAGUGGCCAAGCGAAAGCGAUAAGCCAUCCACCUGGGGAGUACGACCGCAGGGUUGAAACUCAAAUGAAUGGACGGGG
rnacentral:rRNA from 1 species